rnacentral:pre_miRNA from 1 species
AUACCCUGUAGCUCCGGGCUUUUGUUUGGUUUCUAAUAAUCAGAAGCUCGUUUCUACAGGUAUCU